CCUACGGGAGGCAGCAGUAAGGAAUAUUGGUCAAUGGACGCAAGUCUGAACCAGCCAUGCCGCGUGAAGGAUUAAGGUCCUCUGGAUUGUAAACUUCUUUUAUUUGGGACGAAAAAGGGCCUUUCUAGGUCAACUGACGGUACCAGAUGAAUAAGCACCGGCUAACUCCGUGCCAGCAGCCGCGGUAAUACGGAGGGUGCAAGCGUUAUCCGGAUUCACUGGGUUUAAAGGGUGCGUAGGCGGGUAGGUAAGUCAGUGGUGAAAUCCUGGAGCUCAACUCCAGAACUGCCAUUGAUACUAUUUAUCUUGAAUAUUGUGGAGGUAAGCGGAAUAUGUCAUGUAGCGGUGAAAUGCUUAGAUAUGGCAUAGAACACCUAUUGCGAAGGCAGCUUACUACGCAUAUAUUGACGCUGAGGCACGAAAGCGUGGGGAUCAAACAGGAUUAGAUACCCUGGUAGUCCACGCCCUAAACUAUGAUUACUCGACAUUUGUGAUACACAAUAAGUGUCUGAGCGAAAAGCAUUAAGUAAUCCACCUGGGAAGUACGUCCGCAAGGAUGAAACUCAAAGGAAUUGACGG
rnacentral:rRNA from 1 species